AGAAGAAGUUACCUCGUUAUCUUCAUUCCGAGACACAAACCUAGCCAAAAUCAAACCAGUUGCUGAUAAUACAAUAGCAACACAAACUCUCAAAAUCACCGGCUUCAUAGCUCCUCCAUCUCUUGGACCAGCUGAACCAUCCAUUAAUCUCUUAUGUUGCUUUCAACUCCAAAAAUCUUUCUUUCUGACUAAAAAAGUUUCCUUUCGGUUAUGUGACCGAAACAGAGACUCGAGAAUUGAUUGAUCAAUCUUGUGAGGGUUUGAUCAAAUUUAAAUGGUUUAUACGAAUCAUUGGUCUCAUGAAAAAAAUAGUUUUAUACAGUCCUCUUUUUGUUGUGGAGGAUACAUGUCUU